ACCUCAUCAAACUUCGAUCACCUGCUUUUUAACGUGAGCGAUGGAGACCAAACCGAGGCGUGAGAUGGGAUUAAUCAAGACUUUUCCUCACUGAUUGACUCCUCAACAUCAUCAUCAUCAUCACAACUCACAUUAAGCCUGAUGGAGAACCAGGAUCAGACUUCCUCUGCGGGGACAGGUCUGCAGUCCAGGCUGUCCAACAUGAUGCCGUUCAGGAAGAGCGGCGUCGGUCCUACCCAGUCCGACCCAAACGACCAGGCCACGAAGUGCAGGU